GGGAGACAGCCUAUUUCAUUCUGAAAGCAUCUCUCACCAUUCAAAGGAAGAAGAGGAAGUCUAAGUGAAUAAAAGGUUGGAUUUGUUCAGCAGUCUGGACAAAAAUUUAUGCUGAAUCCUGAAAUACUCAAGAAAUCCUGAAAACUGACCUUUCAGUACUCUGCUACAUUGAUCUUUCACGGCCAUGGUCCCAUGUGUCAAUGUAAGACAAGAGGUUUCCUGGGACAGCGUUUUCAGCAAAUUGUUUUCUUAGACCAAAUGCAGAGAGACACAUUCCUCAGCAGCUCUGUGUGCAAGAUGCAAAAGACACUGAUAACAUGUGGAAAAAUUUGAAAACACAUCUGUGAUCCACAAAUUAGAAUCAAAGUUCCCCAAGACAUGGAAUCCUAGUCUGCUUAACUGAGCCACAAAAUUUGGCUCACCUGGAUGUUGUGUUUCAGCCCACCCCUCUCUGCUGCUUAGCUAAUAAGGAAGCGUGUGCCUCUUUUGAGUCCUAGUGUUUUAUUUCUUGCAUGAAUGAAACCGAUCCUCAGAAUUUAGGAGUGCCACGUUGUAACUGGAACAGGGUUUAAAAAGGAGAGUCCUAAUUCAUUGUGAGUUAGUUGAAAGUCUUUUUAGGGGAGAUAAUCAAAUAUAACUCAGCAAUAUUUUGCAGUGAAAGAAACACCAUCAAAAGUAACACUUGGACAAUUUUUUUUCAUAUUGCGGUUCUGAUUGUCUUUUUUAAAACAUCACAGAGUACUUAAAGGACCGUGACAGAUAAAUGCAGUCUUUAAAACUACUCAUGCAUUCUUAAUGGACAGCUUGUUAAUUUGAGGUCUAGGUCAUGAAUUUGAAUGCCACUCACUAAACACUUCUUUGUCAACAAAAGCUAGUUUUCCCUUAGGGUAAAUUGUAACUCAUUAAUUGUAAUUAAAUUAAACAUAUGCGACAACUAGAAAACCUAGAAUACAUUCAGUGAGGAACACUGGUACAGCAAUCUGUGGCUGAGUUCUGGGAUGUUCAGGUUUUUUGCCAGUGAGAAGAAAAUAAAGAUCUGUAACUUAAUGAUAGCCUCAAUAAAGAUGGCAAGAAACUAUCUUGCCUAUUUAAAAAUU